rnacentral:tRNA from 1 species
UAGCUCAGAUGGUAGAGCCUCUGCCUGCAAUGUGGGAGACCCAGGUUCAAUCCCUGG